CCGCGGGCCGCCUCACGGAGGGCGGGCCUUCCCGCGGAGCCGCGUCCUAUUGGGUGUUCUCCUCGCGACGGCGGCGGGAGGAGCCAAUGGGAGGAGAGGAAAAGCCGCCGAGGGUGGGCGCGGAGGUGGCCUUGAGGCGAGGGAACUUGAACCUCAGUGGCUGCAAAGUGGCAUUGCUGAGCUCAGUUAAUAAGCCUUGCCCUCGCUGAGCUCUCGGGGUUGUGCCAAAGAAGCAUUAAAAGAUUUGAAUCUAUUAAUACAAGAUGUCCCAUUUACUUCUGCUGUGGAAUAACGAGGAAUGAUGACUCACUGGAGCUCCGUGAUCCCCCAUGGUUUUACAUGGUAAAUAGAGAAAUCAUUCUUAGCAGGAA